GGGAUGUGAUGAGUGGUCAAUGUUUGCAAUUAAAUAUGCGAGAAGGGCGUUCCAACUUAGCCUAGUCACCACAAUUUGGAUGCUCUAAUUUAUACCAAAUUGUUCCU